rnacentral:rRNA from 1 species
UUAAGUAGCGAAGUUAGUGAUGUCACACUGCCAAGAAAAGCUUCUAGCGUUAAUUAUACUCUACCCGUACCGCAAACCGACACAGGUAGUCGAGGCGAGUAGCCUCAGGUGAGCGAGAGAACUCUCGUUAAGGAACUCGGCAAAAUGGCCCCGUAACUUCGGGAGAAGGGGCGCUGGCUUUAAGUCAGCCGCAGUGAAUAGGCCCAAGCAACUGUUUAUCAAAAACACAGCUCUCUGCUAAAUCGUAAGAUGAUGUAUAGGGGGUGACGCCUGCCCGGUGCUGGAAGGUUAAGAGGAGCGCUUAGCAUUAGCGAAGGUGUGAAUUGAAGCCCCAGUAAACGGCGGCCGUAACAAUAACGGUUCUAAGGUAGCGAAAUUCCUUGUCGGGUAAGUUCCGACCCGCACGAAAGGCGUAAUGAUUUGGGCACUGUCUCAACGAGAGACUCGGUGAAAUUUUAGUACCUGUGAAGAUGCAGGUUACCCGCGACAGGACGGAGAGACCCCAUGGAGCUUUACUGCAGUUUGAUAUUGAGUAUCUGUACCACAUGUACAGGAUAGGUAGGAGCCUAUGAAAUCGGGACGCUAGUUUCGGUGGAGGCGUUGUUGGGAUACUACCCUUGUGUUAUGGCUACUCUAACCUAGAUAGGUUAUCCCUAUCGGAGACAGUGUCUGACGGGCAGUUUGACUGGGGCGGUCGCCUCCUAAAAGGUAACGGAGGCGCCCAAAGGUUCCCUCAGAAUGGUUGGAAAUCAUUCGCAGAGUGUAAAGGUAUAAGGGAGCUUGACUGCGAUAGCUACAACUCGAGCAGGGACGAAAGUCGGGCUUAGUGAUCCGGUGGUUCCGCAUGGAAGGGCCAUCGCUCAAUGGAUAAAAGCUACCCUGGGGAUAACAGGCUUAUCUCCCCCAAGAGUUCGCAUCGACGGGGAGGUUUGGCACCUCGAUGUCGGCUCGUCGCAUCCUGGGGCUGUAGUCGGUCCCAAGGGUUGGGCUGUUCGCCCAUCAAAGCGGCACGCGAGCUGGGUUCAGAACGUCAUGAGACAGUUCGGUCCCUAUCCGUCGCGGGCGUAGGAAAUUUGAGAGGAUCUGCUCCUAGUACGAGAGGACCAGAGUGGACUUACCGCUGGUGUACCAGUUGUCUUGCCAAAGGCAUCGCUGGGUAGCUAUGUAGGGAAGGGAUAAACGCUGAAAGCAUCUAAGUGUGAAGCCCACCUCAAGAUGAGAUUUCCCAUGAUUUUAUAUCAGUAAGAGCCCUGAGAGAUGAUCAGGUAGAUAGGUUAGAAGUGUAAGUGUGGUGACACAUGUAGCGGACUAAUAC